rnacentral:rRNA from 1 species
AAACUCUCAAAGUAAGUUAUGUGGGUCAAGGUAUGAUGAUUAAUUGGAGUUCUAGUUCAUUUACUUUGAGAAAAUUAGAGUGUUUAAAGCAGCCUCUUGGGGCACUGAAUACAUUAGCAUGGGAUAAUAAAAUAGGAUCUUCACAAUAUAUUUUAUUGGUUUAAAUUGGAUAUGAAGAUAAUGAUUAAUAGGGACAGUUGGGGGUAUUCAUAUUGGGUGGUUAGCGGUGAAAUGCUCGGAUCCAUUCAAGAUGAACUAAAGCGAAGGCAUUUACCAAGGAUGUUUUCAUUAAUCAAGAACGAAAGUUAAGGGAUCGAAGACGAUUAGAUACCGUCGUAGUCUUAACUAUAAACUAUGCCGACCAGGGAUAUGAGUUGUUAGGAUUAUAUGAAAGUAUAAUCAAUUUCUUCUUAUGAACCUUGUG